ACUCAAAGGAAUUGACGGGGACCCGCACAAGCAGUGGAGAAUGUGGUUUAAUUCGAUGCAACGCGAAGAACCUUACCCAGGUUUGACAUGCAGAGGACAGGUACAGAGAUGUACCCUCCCUUCGGGGCUUCUGCACAGGUGCUGCAUGGCUGUCGUCAGCUCGUGCCGUGAGGUGUUGGGUUAAGUCCCGCAACGAGCGCAACCCUUAUCACUAGUUGCCAACGCGUCAAGGCGGGAACUCUAGUGAGACUGCCCGGGUUAACCGGGAGGAAGGUGAGGAUGACGUCAAGUCCGCAUGGCCCUUAUAUCUGGGGCUACACACGUUCUACAAUGGCCGGUACAGAAGGAAGCGAAACCGCGAGGCGAAGCAAAUCCCCAAAGCCGGUCCCAGUUCAGAUUGUAGUCUGCAACUCGACUACAUGAAGUUGGAAUUGCUAGUAAUGGCGAGUCAGCAACAUCGCCGUGAAUACGUUCCCGGGUCUUGUACACACCGCCCGU
rnacentral:rRNA from 1 species